CUUGAGGGGAAAAAAAAAAAUUAUCGCGAAAACUUCUGCCUCGCCCCCAAAGUCCUUGAACCCUUUUUCGCCCGUAGUUACUUCCUCACUCUUCUUCUUCUUCUUCUUCUCCCUCCCAUUCACUCUGCAAAUUGCAAUGGAGAUGGCCCAAAUAUCCGCUCUGAAGAUUUAGCUUAGUUCGCUCGUAUAUUCUCCUUUCCCCACAAUCUAGGGUUACCAUCGCCUGUUUGUGCCGGAAGCUCUCUUCUUUCAUGGGUAGGAGUAGAAGCCGGAGUUGGAGUAGAAGCCGGAGUAGAAGUAGAAGUCCUCCUCAUAGUUUUAAACGAGACUCAGGAUUUAAUGAUAGAAACAGAAACAGAUCGCGUGUUUCAACUCAAUCGUGCAGAGAUUUUUCUUCUGGCAGAUGCCGGAGAGGUAACGGCUGUCAAUUUCUUCACCAGGAUAAUCAAAAUCUGGAUGAUAGCUGGGAAAAUAGGAACAGGAAGGGCCGAUCCCUAAGACCAACUCCCCAUGAUUUUAGGGACUACCCUAGGAGUGGAAGAUCGGCUGCUCAUUGUACCGAAUUUAUGAAGGGAAGGUGUCACAGGGGAGCAUCUUGCAAGUAUUCACACGAUAGUGCAUUUCAUGAACUGUCACGAGGUUCUCCAAAUGAUAUUAGUCGAGACAGGGAAAAUGAUAGGAAUAAAGAAGCAUACUUCUCACGUGGUGAGCGUGAACCUAGCAGUAGUAGUCUUGUUAUCUGCAAAUUUUUUGCUGCUGGAACUUGUCGUAAUGGAAAAAAUUGCAAGUAUUCUCAUCAUAGCCAGCCACGUGUCAGUCCAGAGAGGAAGUCGAGUACGGAUAGAUGGGAACAGGUUCAAUGUUCAGAUGGUAGGGAACGAUUGUGGGAUGGCUCAAAAUCAAGUGAAUUGGCUAGUGGUCCUAAUUUUGCUCAGUUGGGAGAGGAAAAAAACGAACAAAUUGCUAAUCAACAACCAAGAUAUCCAUGGUCUUCAGAACAAAAAUGGAGUCAUGGUUUGAAUAAUGAGAGCAAAAGUCAGUGGGAUCAAGCUGUUAGUAUCAAGGCAGUUCAGAGCAACAAGAAUGAUGCCGUUCUGUGCAAGGCAGAGGAUGGUGGUGGCUGUAUAGGAACUUCUGACCCUAGAGGUCAUGGAAAGUGGCCCAGUGAUGAUAUGGAGAUGUCUCCUGAUUGGCACUACCCUGUGCAACCAUCCAAUCCUGUGGUGAAAGGAGAUUGCAACAUCAUGCAGGAUUCUGGCUCUCAAACUUCCAUUGCUUUAGCCACUCUCAGCCAUGCGAUAGCACAAGAGGCUUUGGUUAAGAAGCAAGAUAUUGCCAUAGAGCCUAUAAUAGUUGAUAAUACUCAUUUUCGGCAGAACCAUAAUUUAACACAAGAUGUUACUAUUGCAUCAGCAUUCAAUGAUAAGAUUACAACUGAUAAAAAUAUUGCUUCUCAUGCUGAAGGCACUCCUUCUGGUAAAAUCAUCCAUGGACAAAGAAUGGUAUAUCACACCGACCAUCCAGGUGGAAAUGUAAUGAAUCUGAAAGUUGCAGAUGGAAAUUUCAGAGUCAAAUCACAAGAUGAGGAUGCAAGCAUUCCAACGGCAAUCAAGUCUGGAACAACAAUAACUCCAAGCAUAGUAACCAGUGAACAGAUUACCCAAUUAACUAACCUUUCAGUUUCUCUUGCCCAAUAUUUUGGAAAUGUGCAACCAUUGCCACAAUUAUAUGCCUCACUUAAUCCGCAUAAUGUGUCAGAGACAUCUUCCUUCCCUUAUUCUAAUGCACCAGUGGGUGCUUUGGGGGCAUCUAUGAAGUCAGGUCCUGUAAUUGAAGGCCUGAAGCAACAUGAUCCUACUUUAUGCAAUAACAUAGAGCUGAAGAAGCUCGAAGUCACUAAAACACCCUCAGAUUGUUUACUGAAUCCCACUGGGCAGAAAAGCGCUCCAGAUGGUAAAGAGGAAGUACAAAUAUCAAACUUGCCUCUAACAUCUGGCCCUGGUGACAAGACUGGCAUCUCUAGAAAAGAAACUCUUCAUGAGAGUGAUGUGAUAAAUCAUGGGAAGCCAGCAGCAGCUGGCAAGGCUAUAAAAGAGAAGAAUGAUGAUGGGGAUUUUGUGAACAAGACUGACCUAGGGGUGAAUGAGAAUUCUCAAGAGAAUGAUAUUACAGAAAAUGCAAAGGGAAAUGAUGGGGUCAAUGACAAGAAGAAAAGUAAAGAUGCUAAGGGAAUUCGUGCUUUUAAAUUUGAACUUGUGGAGUUCGUCAAGGAACUUCUAAAACCUACGUGGAAGGAAGGUCAUAUCAGCAAAGAUGUUUAUAAAACCAUAGUCAAGAAAGUGGUGGACAAAGUGACAGGUACCUUGCAGGGGGGUCAUAUUCCUCAAACGCAGGAGAAAAUCGAUCACUAUCUUUCAUUUUCAAAAUCAAAGCUCACUAAGCUUGUUCAGAGGGUUGGGCUCUUUGGGAGAAAAGGGUGCUCAUCAAAAACCUUAUUUUAAAGCAAAUCCCACCAUGGUCAUCUUGCAAGAAACUAAAAUGGCGUGAAUUGAUCGUUUUCCAAAGACAUAGGCUGGGUCUCUCUAGAUUAUACGGGAUAUCGGGUGGUAUCCUUUUGUGGAACAACUCAUCCUUCCAUAUCUCCAACAUUACCAAAGGCGUACGUGGACAGAGUUCCAAAGACAACUUAAGAAGUCGAGGCUGCCACGUACAUUCUUAUGUAUUUUUUUUUCUCACAUGUACUAAUUUGUUGGAAUGCUGCAGCCUUCUGAAUGAUAUUACCAUGUCUUACUCAUAUAAUGUAAUGUAUCUCCCAUUAGAUGUCUUAGGUACACCUUUUUCUCCAGCCUUUCUGCAAAUCAGAUAAGAUAUAUAUGGAAAUCUGUUAGUUUUAGUUUGUGCAUUCUUCAUCUUUUAUUGUUGAAUCAAUGGUUAUCACUUUUGAGGGACCA